rnacentral:lncRNA from 1 species
CUUUGCUGAAUGGGUGUGGGCAGCAAACCCAUGCAGAGGCUGUUAGUAAUCCUCACAGGCUCUGAUGUGGUCACACUGAACCGGAGACUUUGUGUUAUAUGUGAAUGCAUUGGCUUUACUUUCUAAUAUUUGGCUGGCUUUGUAAACCAUCUUCCUUUCUCCCCGCUCUUGUUUUCUCUCAUGAAGGCACCAUUUCUUGUUGGUUUUGGACUGUUUUUGUGACUAGAGAAGAAUGUAGGCUUCUCAGAAGCACAUGAGCUGUUUUGCUCUUCAGUAGUGUCCCUGCUCUGCUCAUAGACAGAGGAGAGCUGGGUGGACAGGAUCAGUCAGGAGGCUAAGGACAGGCAUGAAAGAAAGCCUCUGAAGCAGGAUGGAGUGGCAGAAAGGCUGCUUUUUCUCAAGGGAUCUGUGAAAUGAGGCAAUCCUGCUGUCAUUUCUGCAGCAGUUUGGUUGCAGUUAGCUGUGCUGUGCCCUGCAUCAGCCUCCAGAGAGCCUGUGUCACAGGACAGGAGACCUUUCAGCUGGAGAAGUCAGCCACUGUUCAAGCUUGACCCAGAUUCUGAGGCUUUCAUCUGGAGAGCUUCCUCACUGAUUUUCAGUCUUGGCUGUGUGAGUUUGUCUCCAGACCAGUCUGGGAAUGUAAGAGCUGGGGAAUCAUCUGACUCUUGCUGGAAGCAAGAGCACCCACUGGGAGCUGUUCUACCAGAUGCUGGUGAGGACAAAGAUGUUGGGAGGAUGUUGAAGAGGAAAAGAAUGAUGACAAUGAAUGAUGACCUGCAGCUGUUGGUUAACCAAUCUCAUUUGGAAAGAAGGCCCAUAGCAAGAGGAUCCUGUUAAUAACUCCAGUGUCUGGAUGCUGGCAGGACUGGGGUUUGCAUGAGUGGUGAAAUGGUGAAAUCAUGCCUAAACUCUGUUCCGAAGCUGGGGAGGCAGAGGUAUUGUGAAGCUUUUGUUCCCCGUGAAGUUUUGGAUAUGUUUGCCAGCAGAAAUCAAAUGUGAGCAUUUCCAAUUGUUGGGUGAAAGGUCCUUAAGUGAAACUAUUGCUCACUAAAGUGAAAAAUUUGCCUGUUCCCUCUAAAAUUGCCAUCUUGUUUCCAGACCUAUAAGGUGCAUGUCCUAGGAAUAGAAUAAAAUGUAAGUUGACCACA